UCUGACAACUGCCUUGGCCUCCCUCUAAACAUCUUUCCUUACAGUUACCAGUUUUGAGAGUGCGUUUUCCAGGGAUAAGGAAUCACUUAUCUUUGGAGAAAGUUUAUGAGUGAAUUAAAGAAGCAAAGGACAUCAUUUCAAUCCCCAAGUACAUAGAAGUCAGAUUGGUAGAACCAUCAUCAUGUUAAACAAGCAGAAGAACCAUUAGAAGCAGGGAAGUCCAAAUGCUUCUGAGAGGCUCCCAGCUCCUGAUCCCAUGUGUGGAAAGAUCAUGCAAGGAGUGGCGCGGCAAAACAAAGAUGGCACUGACAGCCAGCCCCGUCUGAAUGUAAACAACUUACAGUGCAUGUGCAGGCUUAUCCCCUCAUCACGGCAGCUGUAUGAUCUGGCGCCCUCCUGUUGUGAACAAUAGUACUGUGCAUGCACGGGUUUUGCACCUGGAGUCAGUUGGCCAGUAAUAUGCUAAUGAGGGGGCGGUACCAUGCUGGUGAGGUGAUUUGUUCUCCAACAAUCCCUGUAGGACAAGUAGUGGGGUGAUAGUGGGAUGACAGUGGGGUGAUAGUGGGGUGACCCAUUCCCCACCAAUCCCUGAAGGAUUUUUAGCAUACUGUUGUAUAUAUAAGGCGAGAACUUUUGCUGCUCGAGGUCCCCGUAUCAGCAAUGAAGGUGUCCUGCAAUAAAGGCUGUUGACAA